UACGUAGGGGGCGAGCGUUGUCCGGAGUUACUGGGCGUAAAGGGCACGCAGGCGGUGCGGCGCGUUUCGCGUGACAGCGGAGGGCUUAACUCUCCGAGGAUGCGAAAGACGGCGGCACUUGAGGGCCAGAGAGGGACACGGAAUUCCGGGUGGAGUGGUGAAAUGCGUAGAGAUCCGGAGGAACACCGAAGGCGGAGGCAGUGUCCUGGCUGGUGACUGACGCUGAGGUGCGAAAGCGUGGGGAGCGAACAGG
rnacentral:rRNA from 1 species